UACGUAGGGUGCGAGCGUUGUCCGGAAUUAUUGGGCGUAAAGAGCUUGUAGGCGGUUUGUCGCGUCUGCUGUGAAAUCUCAAGGCUCAACCUUGAGCUUGCAGUGGGUACGGGCAGACUAGAGUGUGGUAGGGGAGACUGGAAUUCCUGGUGUAGCAGUGAAAUGCGCAGAUAUCAGGAGGAACACCGAUGGCGAAGGCAGGUCUCUGGGCCACUACUGAUGCUGAGAAGCGAAAGCAUGGGGAGCGAACAGG
rnacentral:rRNA from 1 species